GUCCCGGCUCCCGCCAGGCCACCCCCUCUGCCACCUCGCCAGAGCCCUGGGCACAGACGCGGAAGUCAGGCUACCCUGCCCCAGGCGGGUGUCUGUCAGGUGCCCCCAAGAUCCCUUGCUCUUUGCUUCCUGCCUUGAGCGAAGAUGAGCUCCUCCUUUCGGCAACUCUGGCUGCAGGGGAAGCGAGCACCACGCCCGCGGCCAGCUGCCAUGCCCAGUCCCCACUAGACAGCACCCUGCAGUCUGUUCCAGGUGCCCACAACUGCUCCCUGGGAAACAUCAGCCCUGAGUUUGUGACCCAGCUCUGCCUUUUACUGUGGUGAGCUCUCGGAGUGUGCGUCCAGGGACUUCAUUUUCUUCACUCACUCCAUUAAAGACCUUUGUGCAGCGCCUGCUGGGAGCCAGCCUACUAUGUGCCGCUGGCUCCAGGAGAGACAGGCAGAAUUCCCUGCCCUCCAGGAGCUCGCCCUCUUGGUCUUCCAAGGAGCCGGCCAUGUGAAUAAGCAUAAUUAGCAGGAGAUGAAUUAGGGGGAGGUAAUUCAUACUGAUGCCCCUACCCCCAUGUUGGGCUCCAAUGUGGAGCUGAGCUCCUAAAAAUGCCCCUGUCAACAUCAUAUUAUAAACACAAAGUGAAGGCCUAGGGACUAGAGAAUUCUAGACUUGCAAUAAGAAAGUAAUUUUUGCUGCAAGGAUUUCAUAAGAUUUUUUUGAACUAGUUUGGGGUGGCAGUGUCUGGCCACCGCAAGCUGAGGACAGUCACCCACUGCAAGGGGUGCCCUCGGGCCAGAGAGAGCCAAAGGACUUUCAAACCCAAGUCCUGUGUCCACAGUAUUAAGAUGGGGUGGUUGAUAAGAUGAGAUGAUUUGAUAAUAGUUUUCCAGGAAGAAAUACAGCAGCAGGAAGGGCAAGAUGCCCCCGCGCGCAGUGCCAACCAUCGCAGCACUCACGUGUGAGACCAGGCAGGGCUCUGAACGUCCUCAGGCCCGCGGGGAAGCCAGCCGCUCCGCUUCACCUGCCAGUCACAGUCGCAGACAGGCACCCAAAAUCUGAAAUCAGGGUGUCAGCAUGGCCACACUCGCUCUGAGCUCCAAGAGCUGCCUCUUCCAGCUUCUCGUGGCCCCAGGUGUUCCUUGGCUUGUGGCCACGUAUCUGCCUCCACCUUCUCAUCACCUCGCCGUGUGCGGCCAGCCUCCUGUCACAAGAAUACCGCUGUGGGAUGUGAGACCCACCUGGAGGAUCCUGAGCAUCGAGACCCUUACUACAUGACAUCUGCAAAGACCUUGCUUCAAGCUGGCAGAUAAACAACCAUCACACAGAUUGAUAAGAGGAGGAAAGCAGCUUAACAAUCACAUGUCUACCUCCUGCGAAAGACCUGGCCUGAGAGUGACCCACACACAAGGCUUCGGACACCAGCUACACGGCUGCGCUAAGACGAGGGGAUGGGGGAAGAGAGGGAAGGCCAGUUAGGGGGUUACCAGAGAAGGCACAGCAGACAAAGAUAUGCACAGUAAGCUCUGGCGGCUCCAUCAGCAAGAGACAAGUCGAUGAGGUCUUCCUGAGAGAGGCCCUCACGGAGGGCGGCUCCCUUCGGGGCCCACCCUGAGUUAAACUCCAGGCCCCUCCAGGUAAGUACUCUUUCUCCAAGUUGGCUUGUCCCUAAGCUGACAGACCGUGGAGGGUGGCAAGACCUUGGGUGGGGGGUGACCCUUCUGACUGAAACAAGCAACUAGCCUGCAUUUCCCUUCCCAUGCUGCCCUGUCGUGGUUCUGUUAGGGGGAAAAGGAUACAUUGUUGGAUUCUGAUAGCUAAAAUUUUAUUGAGGAUUUUUGCAUCAGUGUUCAUGAGCGAGAUUGGCCUGUAGUUUUCUUUUUUUGUGUUGUCCUUGUUCGGUUUUGGUAUUAGUGUAAUUUGUGUGUGUGGCUGUAGUGGAGUAUUCAUAAGUCCCUUUUAAGCGCGCGGGUGAGGACCCACAGCCAGGCAACCCGUUUUAUGUCGGGGCUGCUCCGUAACAGUUCCAGUGAGAUCCAUGUACCAACAGGAUCCCGGCUAUAAAGCCCUCAGCACAGGGCUUGGCACAGAGCUCAUGGCCCUGGGGCGUUAUUCUCUAGAGAGCAGUUAAAGAAGUCUGUACUUGUUUACCCUUUGCUGCUUCUGGAACCCUCCUUUGCGUCCUCUAUAAGAUACCAUAUGAUCCCUCCAGCAGCCACAGCAACAAGGCUUGAGUGCCCCUUGACAUUGGCAACAUCCUGGCCCUCUGCCAGGUGCUGUCCACGGUCAUUUUGGGGAUCAGGACCUAUUGUCAGCCUCGGCUGGCCAGCCUACCUGGGGACAGGUCACAGUUUGUCCAGCAACUGAUAGGAGGUUGGGACAGCAAAAGCUUCUAUGGAGAUGCAAAACCGCCUGGCCACUUGGCCAGAGCUGGCUCCGGGGCUUGGCAGAGAUACCACCUUAGCAGGGGCUGGGGGUGGGAGCUUCAGCUAAGCUUGUAAGAAGCUGAGAACAGAAAGCCCCUGCCCCAGCGCCCAUCAUGCCAGAGCGGAGAUAGGAUUCACUGGGAGCAGAGAGGACUGGGUUGGGGGAACUUGGCCAUCAGUGCCUAAGAUGGCCAGAGACUGUAGCUUUCAGUCCUGCUCUGCGGCCUCUUCCGGAGGGGUCUUGACAUCUUCAGGGUCCACCAGCAUUUCCACAGCCUUCUCUGACCCGCUCCACUGCCGAGGUGCCUCUGGGCCAGCAAAAGAACAAGGCUGUGACCCUCUCCGUUUUAUAGAUGGGGGCACAGAGGCAGGGGAAUUAACCCACCCUGGACACGCCCAUACAGACCUGACAGCGACUCCCUCCUGUCCAAACCUCAGCCUCCUGGGGCUGCGGUCCCGCACAGGGAAGUGCCGCCCAGGCCGAGGACGCCUGUGACUGUCACUGCCUCCGCCCCGAGCAGCUGCUGGUGAGAAGACCCACUCCACUCGGUGCACCAGCUUCCCUCGGGCACCCCGCUUCUCUACUGAGAAACUGAACACACCUUCUGCCUAUUUGCUCGCUCAUGUCUAUCGGGUUUUUGUGUCUUUAUGAACUUGGCACCGAUUCCAGAUCCCGAGUUAGUAAGUGGACAUGGUCAUCUGUGUGGCCUCGCUCUGAUGCAGAGAAGGAUUCUGGAAAUAAAAGAACUCACUUCUCUCAGGAUUUGGGCAUGGGGAAGCCGCCCCCUCCCCCAAAAUCUCAAGCAUCACUGCGUUGGAGGGGGUUCAGCUGGUCCAGGACGAGACCUGGAGUGGGGGCUGGGCAUGCGCUCUGCUGUCACUUGCUCCAGGGGAGGGCAGUCCCGGUUAUUCCAGGGGCGGUUGGCACAGUGUGGCCCAAGGGCACCUGAGUGUCCCCGAGACCCAUUCUGGGGCCCAGGAGAUGAAAACUCUUUUCCUAGUGACACCAAGAUGUGUCUGCCUUUCCCGCUCUACCUCACAAUUGCACAGUGAAUAUUUCUAAAGACAACACAGCAUGUGAUAUCACAACAGACCGAAGCAGAUACAAGAAUCCAGCUGUCUUCUAUUAAGCCUGACACUGAAUAGAUUUGCAAAAAAUGUAAAACGAUGUCAUUCUUGUCACUGAUAAUUUUUGUUUGGGAAAAUAUAGUUAUUUAUG